ensembl:lncRNA
UUACAUCCACUUAGGUUGGAGUCAUUACAACUAGUUUACCUACACUUAGGUUGGAGUCAUUAAAACUAGUGUACAUCCACUUAGGUUGGAGUCAUUACAACUAGUUUACAUCCACUUAGGUUGGAGUCAUUACAACUAGUUUACAUACACUUAGGUUGGAGUCAUUACAACUAGUUUACAUACACUUAGGUUGGAGUCAUUACAACUAGUUUACAUCCACUUAGGUUGGAGUCAUUACAACUAGUUUACAUACACUUAGGUUGGAGUCAUUAAAACUUGUUUUUC